UCUUGAGUACUUUGGGGUUCACGAACAGCACAGGGGCUCCCACAUUCUCCCAAGGCAGAGCUGUUGCACCAGGCAAGGUCACCUGCAUUUAUUUAUUGAGCAGCAGCACUACACUAGGCCCAGAGCCUUAGACCCCUUUCCCGUCCCCUGCAAUGGUUCUCUUGGCCUUCCAAGAGGGCCUGUGUCUGCAGAACAGGACCUUGGUGGAUAGAGAGUUUCUAUAGGCUUACCUAGCAAGCCCCAAGGGUUUUUUGUUUCAUCAAGAGAUCCUGUGUGGGCUGGGCCGGAGGCUGGAAGUAGACGUAGGUGUUACUUCUGAGUCCUUUGUGCCGUCCUGUAAGGUGACAGGAAGGUGGGACCCCAGAAUCCUGGGGCUGGGAGCCUCCCUUCAUCUACCCACCUUUCCCUGUUUCCUCUUGGGGGGCAGGAACAGCCUGGUCCUCCAGGGAGGGAGGGAUUUGGGGGCGUCUGAGUUGGAGCGGGUCACAUGGCAUUGUAUUCAUGACUAUAUAGCUCAUGUUGGAAAUUAAAGUUUUUGGCUUUUCUA
rnacentral:lncRNA from 1 species